rnacentral:rRNA from 1 species
UGGGGAAUAUUGCACAAUGGGCGAAAGCCUGAUGCAGCAACGCCGCGUGAGGGAUGAAGGCCUUCGGGUUGUAAACCUCUUUUAGUAGGGAAGAAGCGCAAGUGACGGUACCUGCAGAAAAAGCACCGGCUAACUACGUGCCAGCAGCCGCGGUAAUACGUAGGGUGCAAGCGUUGUCCGGAAUUAUUGGGCGUAAAGAGCUCGUAGGCGGCUUGUCGCGUCUGCUGUGAAAUCCCAAGGCUUAACCUUGGGCCUGCAGUGGGUACGGGCAAGCUAGAGUGCGGUAGGGGAGAUUGGAAUUCCUGGUGUAGCGGUGGAAUGCGCAGAUAUCAGGAGGAACACCGAUGGCGAAGGCAGAUCUCUGGGCCGCUACUGACGCUGAGGAGCGAAAGCAUGGGGAGCGAACA